rnacentral:rRNA from 1 species
CGGCUAACUACGUGCCAGCAGCCGCGGUAAUACGUAGGGUGCAAGCGUUAUCCGGAAUUAUUGGGCGUAAAGAGCUCGUAGGCGGUUUGUCACGUCUGCUGUGAAAACUGGAGGCUCAACCUCCAGCCUGCAGUGGGUACGGGCAGACUAGAGUGCGGUAGGGGAGAUUGGAAUUCCUGGUGUAGCGGUGGAAUGCGCAGAUAUCAGGAGGAACACCGAUGGCGAAGGCAGAUCUCUGGGCCGUAACUGACGCUGAGGAGCGAAAGGGUGGGGAGCAAACAGGCUUAGAUACCCUGGUAGUCCACCCCGUAAACGUUGGGAACUAGUUGUGGGGUCCAUUCCACGGAUUCCGUGACGCAGCUAACGCAUUAAGUUCCCCGCCUGGGGAGUACGGCCGCAAGGCUAAAACUCAAAGGAAUUGACGGGGACCCGCACAAGCGGCGGAGCAUGCGGAUUAAUUCGAUGCAACGCGAAGAACCUUACCAAGGCUUGACAUAUACGAGAACGGGCCAGAAAUGGUCAACUCUUUGGACACUCGUAAACAGGUGGUGCAUGGUUGUCGUCAGCUCGUGUCGUGAGAUGUUGGGUUAAGUCCCGCAACGAGCGCAACCCUCGUUCUAUGUUGCCAGCACGUAAUGGUGGGAACUCAUGGGAUACUGCCGGGGUCAACUCGGAGGAAGGUGGGGAUGACGUCAAAUCAUCAUGCCCCUUAUGUCUUGGGCUUCACGCAUGCUACAAUGGCCGGUACAAAGGGCUGCAAUACCGUAAGGUGGAGCGAAUCCCAAAAAGCCGGUCCCAGUUCGGAUUGAGGUCUGCAACUCGACCUCAUGAAGUCGGAGUCGCUAGUAAUCGCAGAUCAGCAACGCUGCGGUGAAUACGUUCCCGGGUCUUGUACACACCGCCCGUCAAGUCAUGAAAGUCGGUAACACCUGAAGCCGGUGGCCCAACCCUUGUGGAGGG